rnacentral:rRNA from 1 species
AACCUAAAGCGUUCGUAGCCGGUUUUGUAAAUCUUCAGAUAAAGCCUGAAGCUUAACUCCAGAAAGUCUGAAGAGACUGCAAGACUUGAGAUCGGGUGAGGUUAAACGUACUUUCAGGGUAGGGGUAAAAUCCUGUAAUCCCGGAAGGACGACCAGUGGCGAAAGCGUUUAACUAGAACGAAUCUGACGGUAAGGAACGAAGGCUAGGGUAGCAAACCGGAUUAGAUACCCGGGUAGUCCUAGCUGUAAACAUUGCCCAUUUGAUGUUGCUUUUCCGUUGAGGGAAGGCAGUGUCGGAGCGAAGGUGUUAAAUGGGCCGCUUGGGAAGUAUGGUCGCAAGACUGAAACUUAAAGGAAUUGGCGGGGGAGCACCGCAACGGGAGGAAUGUGCGGUUUAAUUGGAUUCAACGCCGGAAAACUCACCUGGAACGACCUGUGCAUGAGAGUCAACCUGACGAGCUUACUCGAUAGCAGGAGAGGUGGUGCAUGGCCGUCGUCAGCUCGUACCGUAGGGCGUUCACUUAAGUGUGAUAACGAGCGAGACCCACAUCUUUAAUUGCAAAUGUAUAUGAGAAUAUGCAUGCACUUUAGAGAAACCGCCAGCGCUAAGCUGGAGGAAGGAGUGGUCGACGGCAGGUCAGUACGCCCCGAAUUUCCCGGGCUACACGCGCAUUACAAAGAACGGGACAAUACGUUGCAACCUCGAAAGAGGAAGCUAAUCGCGAAACCCGUCCAUAGUUAGGAUUGAGG